CAUUGUAGCUUGCUACAGCUGACGACCGGCGCACGGGUGCGUAACGCGUAUAGAAUCUACCUUACACUGAGGGAUAGCCUUGGGAAACAAAGAUUAAUACCUCAUAGUAUGAUGAUAAGGCAUCUUAUUAUUAUUAAAGCUUCGGCGGUAAAAGAUGAGUAUGCGUUCUAUUAGCUAGAUGGUAAGGUAACGGCUUACCAUGGCAACGAUAGGUAGGGGCCCUGAGAGGGGGACCCCCCACACUGGUACUGAGACACGGACCAGACUCCUACGGGAGGCAGCAGUGAGGAAUAUUGGACAAUGGAGGCAACUCUGAUCCAGCCAUGCCGCGUGCAGGAAGACUGCCCUAUGGGUUGUAAACUGCUUUUAUACAGGAAGAAACACCCCCUCGUGAGGGAGCUUGACGGUACUGUAAGAAUAAGGAUCGGCUAACUCCGUGCCAGCAGCCGCGGUAAUACGCAGGAUCCAAGCGUUAUCCGGAAUCAUUGGGUUUAAAGGGUCCGUAGGCGGGCAAUUAAGUCAGAGGUGAAAUCCUGCAGCUCAACUGUAGAAUUGCCUUUGAUACUGGUUAUCUUGAGUUAUUAUGAAGUAGUUAGAAUAUGUAGUGUAGCGGUGAAAUGCAUAGAUAUUACAUAGAAUACCAAUUGCGAAGGCAGAUUACUAACAAUAUACUGACACUGAUGGACGAAAGCGUGGGUAGCGAACAGGAUUAGAUACCCUGGUAGUCCACGCCGUAAACGAUGGAUACUAGCUGUUCGAUCUUCGGAUUGAGUGGCUAAGCGAAAGUGAUAAGUAUCCCACCUGGGGAGUACGUUAGCAAGAAUGAAACUCAAAGGAAUUGACGGGGGCCCGCACAAGCGGUGGAGCAUGUGGUUUAAUUCGAUGAUACGCGAGGAACCUUACCAGGGCUUAAAUGUAGAUUGACAGGUUUAGAGAUAGACUUUUCUUCGGACAAUUUACAAGGUGCUGCAUGGUUGUCGUCAGCUCGUGCCGUGAGGUGUCAGGUUAAGUCCUAUAACGAGCGCAACCCCUGUUGUUAGUUGCCAGCGAGUAAUGUCGGGAACUCUAACAAGACUGCCGGUGCAAACCGUGAGGAAGGGGGGGAUGACGUCAAAUCAUCAUGGCCCUUACGUCCUGGGCCACCCACGUGCUACAAUGGCCGGUACAGAGAGCAGCCACUAGGUGACUAGGAGCGAAUUUUUAAAACCGGUCUCAGUUCGGAUCGGAGUCUGCAACUCGACUCCGUGACGCUGGAAUCGCUAGUAAUCGCAUAUCAGCCAUGAUGCG
rnacentral:rRNA from 1 species